CCCGCUCAUUCUAUACCCCAUUAUUUGCCCGACCCCUGUCUGCUCAGUUUUAGGUUGGGGUGACCACGGAGUAUAAAAUAACCUCCAUGAAGAAGGGGAUAUUUCCCUUAUUAGAGAACCACACUUCCAAGAACUAAUAAAUUAAUUUUCAAUGACCCGAUACCCGAUAAUCGAUCAACGAACCAAGUUACCCUGGGGAUAACAGCGCANUCCACCCUGAAAGCCCUUAUUAACAGGUGGGUUUACGACCUCGAUGUUGGAUCAGGGUAUCCCAGUGGUGCAGCAGCUAC
rnacentral:rRNA from 1 species